AGCAGCCGCGGUAAUUCCAGCUCCAAUAGCGUAUAUUAAAGUUGUUGCAGUUAAAAAGCUCGUAGUUGAAUUUCGGGGUCGGUAGGUUGGUCGUGCCUCUGGUAUGCACUGGUCUCACUGAUUCCUCCUUCCUGAUGAGCCGUAAUGCCAUUAAUUUGGUGUUGCGAGGAAUCUGGACUGUUACUUUGAAAAAUUAGAGUGUUUAAAGCAAGCUGACGCUUGAAUACAUUAGCAUGGAAUAAUGGAAUAGGACGUUCGAUCCUAUUUUGUUGGUUUCUAGGAUUGACGUAAUGAUUAAUAGGGAUAGUUGGGGGCAUUAGUAUUCAAUUGUCAGAGGUGAAAUUCUUGGAUUUAUUGAAGACUAACUACUGCGAAAGCAUUUGCCAAGGAUGUUUUCAUUAAUCAAGAACGAAAGUUAGGGGAUCGAAGACGAUCAGAUACCGUCGUAGUCUUAACCAUAAACUAUGCCGACUAGGGAUCGGAUGAUGUUAAUUUUUAAUGACUCAUUC
rnacentral:rRNA from 1 species